UUCUAGCCCUGAUUGCAAUGAAAAUCCUUUUUAUUUUUCCUUUAAAAAUAAAAAGAUUGAAAUGGAAAGCAGGAAACAGC
rnacentral:sRNA from 1 species